GCCGAUCGGAAUUAAUAAGGCAAACAAUAAAUAUAGUAUAUGUGUUUAAAGAAUGAAGGAGACAAGGUUAUGAAAAGGGAGGAUCUUUGUUCUGUGUUAUGAGUUGAGGGGGGGAGAUUUAAAAAUGGAGUAGAGAGAGAAAGAGGAGAGAGAGAGAGUGGUUUACAGCAAGGGGGGGGAUUGGAGGAGCAGAGUUGAAUAAAAAUAGGUGAAAGUUGAAACAGUGAGAACUACUAUAGUAUCCUAGUGAGAGAGAGAGAGAGAGAGAGAGAGA
rnacentral:lncRNA from 1 species